rnacentral:tRNA from 1 species
CAGCGUGUAGCUCAGCAGCUAGAGCACAGGGCUUGGACCCUGAGGGCGCGGGGGCAGAACCCGCCACGCUGG